AAAGUCUUCAGAAAUGCUGUUUUAGCCCGGGACAGAUUUUCUAUGCAGCAGAUUUAGUCCUUUAUGCGUCCAGCUCCUUUCCAUCUCGUUUGUGAGCUUUCUUUUGCGUCAAGUAAGCCAUAAAUUGCUGUAUUUUGCAUCAUUUAUACCUGAAACUUUCCUAAUCACAUUUGUUAGCUCAUUUACAGGAAAAAGGACUAAAAGUGUACGAAAUAGAUAAUUAGUUCUCGAAACUAGGCUAAAAUAUGGGCAAAAUAUAUUGAUAUAGGCGCGUAAUUUCGCCUAUCA
rnacentral:lncRNA from 1 species